GAUGAACGCUGGCGGCGUGCCUAAUACAUGCAAGUCGAGCGAACGGACGAGAAGCUUGCUUCUCUGAUGUUAGCGGCGGACGGGUGAGUAACACGUGGAUAACCUACCUAUAAGACUGGGAUAACUUCGGGAAACCGGAGCUAAUACCGGAUAAUAUUUUGAACCGCAUGGUUCAAAAGUGAAAGACGGUCUUGCUGUCACUUAUAGAUGGAUCCGCGCUGCAUUAGCUAGUUGGUAAGGUAACGGCUUACCAAGGCAACGAUGCAUAGCCGACCUGAGAGGGUGAUCGGCCACACUGGAACUGAGACACGGUCCAGACUCCUACGGGAGGCAGCAGUAGGGAAUCUUCCGCAAUGGGCGAAAGCCUGACGGAGCAACGCCGCGUGAGUGAUGAAGGUCUUCGGAUCGUAAAACUCUGUUAUUAGGGAAGAACAUAUGUGUAAGUAACUGUGCACAUCUUGACGGUACCUAAUCAGAAAGCCACGGCUAACUACGUGCCAGCAGCCGCGGUAAUACGUAGGUGGCAAGCGUUAUCCGGAAUUAUUGGGCGUAAAGCGCGCGUAGGCGGUUUUUUAAGUCUGAUGUGAAAGCCCACGGCUCAACCGUGGAGGGUCAUUGGAAACUGGAAAACUUGAGUGCAGAAGAGGAAAGUGGAAUUCCAUGUGUAGCGGUGAAAUGCGCAGAGAUAUGGAGGAACACCAGUGGCGAAGGCGACUUUCUGGUCUGUAACUGACGCUGAUGUGCGAAAGCGUGGGGAUCAAACAGGAUUAGAUACCCUGGUAGUCCACGCCGUAAACGAUGAGUGCUAAGUGUUAGGGGGUUUCCGCCCCUUAGUGCUGCAGCUAACGCAUUAAGCACUCCGCCUGGGGAGUACGACCGCAAGGUUGAAACUCAAAGGAAUUGACGGGGACCCGCACAAGCGGUGGAGCAUGUGGUUUAAUUCGAAGCAACGCGAAGAACCUUACCAAAUCUUGACAUCCUUUGACAACUCUAGAGAUAGAGCUUUCCCCUUCGGGGGACAAAGUGACAGGUGGUGCAUGGUUGUCGUCAGCUCGUGUCGUGAGAUGUUGGGUUAAGUCCCGCAACGAGCGCAACCCUUAAGCUUAGUUGCCAUCAUUAAGUUGGGCACUCUAAGUUGACUGCCGGUGACAAACCGGAGGAAGGUGGGGAUGACGUCAAAUCAUCAUGCCCCUUAUGAUUUGGGCUUCACACGUGCUACAAUGGACAAUACAAAGGGCAGCGAAACCGCGAGGUCAAGCAAAUCCCAUAAAGUUGUUCUCAGUUCGGAUUGUAGUCUGCAACUCGACUACAUGAAGCUGGAAUCGCUAGUAAUCGUAGAUCAGCAUGCUACGGUGAAUACGUUCCCGGGUCU
rnacentral:rRNA from 1 species